rnacentral:lncRNA from 1 species
UAUUAUAACAUGCUUCGUUUUGUUCAACCAGCUAUCUGGUAAACUGUAACGAAGUAUGGUAGGACGAACACAAGCACCUGUGCUUGGCACGCGCGGAUAGACCGGUGCCGAAAUGGCCAUGGCGCAGAUGUUUCGGCUUCGUCGUCAGGUGCGGCAACAGCUCAACCAUCUAAACUUUCCAACUGCCCCCAACCACAUACUAUCCUGGCGUCAACAUUCCUCUGCACCGCAGGAGCCAGCCGCAGUACUGCUGCUGCUGCGCUCGCAACUAUUCCGAUGGGCGUCACGCCACCUCAGCGCCGCAGCGGAAGCGGCCCCUCCGGGCCACAGGGACGACGCCCAGACACAGCCCUCCCAGGCCCGCAGGC